UCUUAAGGAUAAGUAAAGAAAGUGGUUUUUUUGAGAUGGAAUCUACUCCUAGUGAAGAUGCUGUGAA
rnacentral:pre_miRNA from 1 species